GUUGCUUUGGCUAAGUGGUUAAGGCGUGUGCCUGCUAAGUACAUGAGGAUUCCCACGGGAGUUCGAAUCUCUCAAGCAAUG